rnacentral:lncRNA from 1 species
UUGACAUUAUUGUUAUUGCUGCUAUCGAAUUGAAUAACUACCCGCCCAUGGGUCUAAAACACUGGCGCGAUGACGCACACAUCAUCUCCCAUAUCCCUUGAAUGUUGAAUCUGGAUUACAUUCUCAUCCAUCAACUUCUGGAUAUCCCUUUUGACAAUCAUACACCCACGGGGGUUCACACUGCAAAUGACACAACCAUCAUGGUCAUGUUCACAAUCACUAAUCAAACAUAGAUUUAUAUGCAUCUCCAC